UACGGGGGGGGCAAGCGUUGUUCGGAAUUACUGGGCAUAAAGCGCACGUAGGCGGUCCGUUAAGUCAUGUGUGAAAUCCCCCGGCUCAACCGGGGAAUUGCGCCUGAUACUGGCGGGCUAGAGGUCGAUAGGGGUGAGCGGAACUCCAGGUGGAGCGGUGAAAUGCGUAGAUAUCUGGAGGAACACCGGUGGCGAAAGCGGCUCACUGGAUCGAAACUGACGCUGAGGUGCGAAAGCUAGGGUAGCAAACGGG
rnacentral:rRNA from 1 species